UGGCUCUCGCAUCGAUGAAGAACGCAGCGAAAUGCGAUAAGUAAUGUGAAUUGCAGAAUUCAGUGAAUCAUCGAAUCUUUGAACGCACCUUGCACCCUUUGGUAUUCCGAAGGGUACACCCGUUUGAGUGUCAUUGUAAUCUCACUACAACCGCCUUUUUGUUGUUGUAUGUGGACUUGGAUGUUGCCGUGUAACACACGGCUCGUCUGAAAUGCCUGAGUGUACCCUGCUUUGCGGCGUAUUCGGUGUGAUAAAUCUUCACCGGAGUUGACCCUCAGGUCACGUCCGCUUGACAUGGCUCUAUGCUUCCAACCGUCCUGACAAGACAAUCUUUGACAAUUUGACCUCAAAUCGGGUGGGACUACCCGCUGA
rnacentral:misc_RNA from 1 species